AAAUGGCGAAGAAGCGGGAAGUUGCUGAGCUAUCAGGUAAUUUCCGCCGAGCAUGUCCUUACUCGAUAAGGGCGG
rfam:Firmicutes bacterium CAG:145 genomic scaffold, scf21